rnacentral:rRNA from 1 species
GAUGAACGCUGGCGGCGUGCCUAAUACAUGCAAGUCGAGCGAACAGACGAGGAUCUUGCUCCUCUGACGUUAGCGGCGGACGGGUGAGUAACACGUGGAUAACCUACCUAUAAGACUGGGAUAACUUCGGGAAACCGGAGCUAAUACCGGAUAAUAUAUUGAACCGCAUGGUUCAAUAGUGAAAGACGGUUUUGCUGUCACUUAUAGAUGGAUCCGCGCCGCAUUAGCUAGUUGGUAAGGUAACGGCUUACCAAGGCAACGAUGCGUAGCCGACGUGAGAGGGGGUUCGGCCACACUGGAACUGAGACACGGUCCAGACUCCGACGGGAGGCAGCAGUAGGGAAUCUUCCGCAAUGGGCGAAAGCCUGACGGAGCAACGCCGCGUGAGUGAUGAAGGUCUUCGGAUCGUAAAACGCUGUUAUUAGGGAAGAACAAAUGUGUAAGUAACUAUGCACGUCUUGACGGUACCUAAUCAGAAAGCCACGGCUAACUACGUG